UUAGGCGUAAUGGACACUAUGCACGGAUGCGAAGCCCAGGAUCUUCUACUUUCUGACUAAUUUGAAGCCUUUGAGGAGGACCGCUGGGGAGUCCCGACGACUGCUGGAUUUCGUUGCAGGCGAGGAGACUCUCUGGAAUGAUGGACACCAAGAAAGCAGGAACCUCCACAGAGCUGCUGAGCAACCUGCCUCAUGUGAUGACUGCUUGUAUUCUGCCCAGCAGCUGUGAGAACAAAGGAAAAAGCCUCACUGAGGGAUGGAAGGGACUUUCACAGUGUUAUGAACAGCCAGAGAGGCUGUCUCUGCAAACUGUAGCAUAUCCUCAGUGAUGCCCUGUGCUUCUAAUUUGAGCAAGGAGAACUUCCAUCACUCUGUGUGGUUUGUUUGUUUUUUUAAUCCUUCUUCUGGGAUGCCAGCAAGAGUUCCAUAUACAUUUCAUCCUUGGUCUUCCUUUCCUGCUCUGCAUUCUGCAACUAAUAAUAGUCCUUGGAGACUCUGUGGCAUCAGGUAUAGGAACUGAGAAAAAGAACCAAUAUUUAUUGAAGUAAUUCAAGUCUCUGUG
rnacentral:lncRNA from 1 species